rnacentral:rRNA from 1 species
CAUGCCGCGGUGAAUACGUUCCCGGGCCUUGUACACACCGCCCGUCACACCACGAGAGUCUGCAACACCCGAAGUCGGUGAGGCAACCUUUUUGGAGCCAGCCGCCGAAGGUGGGGCAGAUGAUUGGGGUGAAGUCGUAACAAGGUAUCCCUACCGGAAGGUGGGGAUGGAUCACCUCCUUU